rnacentral:rRNA from 1 species
UGGGGAAUAUUGCACAAUGGGCGCAAGCCUGAUGCAGCGACGCCGCGUGGGGGAUGACGGCCUUCGGGUUGUAAACUCCUUUCGCCAGGGACGAAGCGUUUUGUGACGGUACCUGGAGAAGAAGCACCGGCUAACUACGUGCCAGCAGCCGCGGUAAUACGUAGGGUGCAAGCGUUGUCCGGAAUUACUGGGCGUAAAGAGCUCGUAGGUGGUUUGUCACGUCGUCUGUGAAAUUCCACAGCUUAACUGUAGGCGUGCAGGCGAUACGGGCUGACUUGAGUACUGUAGGGGUAACUGGAAUUCCUGGUGUAGCGGUGAAAUGCGCAGAUAUCAGGAGGAACACCGAUGGCGAAGGCAGGUUACUGGGCAGUUACUGACGCUGAGGAGCGAAAGCAUGGGUAGCAAACAGGAUUAGAUACCCUGGUAGUCCAUGCCGUAAACGGUGGGCGCUAGGUGUAGGGACCUUUUGGGGUUUCUGUGCCGUAGCUAACGCAUUAAGCGCCCCGCCUGGGGAGUACGGCCGCAAGGCUA